GUCAUCAAUUUAACAGUGUCUCGAUCAUGUCCUUGCACGUUACCACCAUUUAAAAAUAUAGUCAAAAUUAACAAAACAUUGAGAUAUGUAAUUCUUUAUAUUCAAUUUUCCCAGUGCAACACUUUUUAAACAGAAAUAUGUUUUGAAAAGCCAAACAUACGAGCAUUGAGUUAGUGAAAGCAAUAGCGUGCCUGCAGUUGGGGGAUGGCAGAUCGAAUCAGAGGACAAUUGGUAAAAGAAAAGACGGCAGAUUGCCAGACAGAAGGUUCUGUCCACUACACAUUGGCCUUCAGACCUCAGCCUAGGAGGAAGAAUGAGACCUGGAAUGUGUUUGUUCUCAUUACUGGUGAUUAAUUACAGGUGCCCCUGUACCAGUUAAAAAGGUCUUCUUGCUAAGUGUAAUGUUUCACUUUCUCAAUACAUGCAUUUUGACACUAUAAUUAAUGUUUCACUUUCUCAAUACAUGUAUUUUGACACUAUAUAAUGUUUCACUUUCUCAAUACAUGUAUUUUGACACUAUAUAAUUCCCAAUUUUGUCUUCACCUUGUCUAUAAUGUGACACAAAUGCCAUGUCGGAUUAAGCAGGUUUCAGUGUACAAAAUACUGUGUUCACUGUAAUCAAUACUUCACUAUAUCUGGGUGUUUACUUUAAGCUGUUUAUCAUAUAAGCUAGCUUUACUGUCAGAAAAGCUUAUCCUGGAGACAGAGUGCCUCAGGUUCCGA